CCCGAUUGAUUCUGUCGGCGUGAUAUGCUUAUCUCAAAGGCUACCAGAUGUCUAAGUUCAAAUGGCCUAUAAAGGUGAAACCGCGAACGGGGUCAUUACAACAGCUAUUAUAUACUUGAUCUUGAUAUCCUACGUGGAUAACUGUGGUAAUUCUAGAGCUAUACAUGCACCAAAGCUCCGAUUUUCUGCGAGCGCAUCUAUAUAGAUUAAAACCAACGGGUUCGGCCCGUUAUAUUGUGGACUCUGAAUAAAAUAUAGCUGAUCGCCAUGUCGUCGUCAACGGCGACGUGUCUAUCAAGUGUCUGCCUUAUCAACUGUCGAUGGUAGUUUAUGUGCCUACCAUGGUUGUAACGGGUAACGGAGAAUAAGGGUUCGACUCCGGAGAGGGAGCCUGAGAAAUGGCACCACAUCCAAGGAAGGCAGCAGGCGCGCAAAUUACCCACUCUCGGCAUGAGGAGGUAGUGACGAAAAAUAACGAGACCGUUCUCUAUGAGGCCGGUUAUCGGAAUGGGUACAAUUUAAACCCGUUAACGAGGAACUAUGAGAGGGCAAGUCUGGUGCCAGCAGCCGCGCGGUAAUUCCAGCUCUCAAAGUGUGUAAUCGUCAUUGCUGCGGUUAAAAAGCUCGUAGUUGGAUCUGCGCCUCAGGAUCUGGUCCGCCCACUGGGCGAGAACUGGGCUCCUGGGCUAGUUCUCGUGGUUUUCCCUACGUUGCCUUCAUCGGUCGGUAGGGUGGCUGCGAUUUACUUUAGAAAAAUUAGAGUGCUUAACGCGGGCUUAUGUCUGAAUACUCGUGCAUGGAAUAAUAGAAUAGGAUCUCGGUUCUAUUUUGUUGGUUUUCUUAUCUGAGAUAAAUGGUAGAGGACGGAACGGGGGCAUUCGUAUCGCUGCGUGAGAGGUGAAAUUCUUGGACCGUAGCGAGACGUCCGACUGCGAAAGCAUUUGCCAAGAAUGUCUUCAUUAAUCAAGAAGAAAGUCAGAGGUUCGAAGGCGAUCAGAUACCGCCCUAGUCUGACCGUAAACGAUACCAACUAGCGUUCCGUCGGCGGUAAAAUGCCUUGACGGGUAGCUUCCCGGAAACGAAAGUCUUUCGGUUCCGGGGGAAGAUAUGGUUGCAAAGCUGAAACUUAAAGAAAUUGACGGAAGGGCACACCAGGAGUGGAGCCUGCGGCUUAAUUUGACUCACACACGGGAAAACUCACCUGGCCCGGAACCGUAAGGAUUGACAGAUUGAGAGCUCUUUCUUGAUUCGGUGGUUGGUGGUGCAUGGCCGUUCUUAGUUGUGGUGAGUGAUUUGUCUGGUUUAUUCCGAUAACGAGGUCUCGAGACCAUAUAUUAAUAGUCAUCGGAUAAACAAGUCCGGAAGACUUCUUAAGGGACAAGCGGUUAUACAGCCGCAUGAAGUUGAGCAAUAACAGGUCUUGGAUGCCCUUAGAUGUCCAGGGCUGCACGCGCGCUACACUGAGGAAUCAGCGUGCUGUAACCAUUGCCGAAAGGUAUUGGUAACCCCUUGAAAAUCCUCCGUGAUCGGGAUCGGGAAUUGCAAUUAUUUCCCUUGAACGAGGAAUUCCUAGUAAGUGUGAGUCAUCAGCUCACGUUGAUUACGUCCCUGCCCUUUGUACACACCGCCCGUCGCUGCCCCGGACUGAGCCUUUCGAGAAAAGCGGGACUGCUGUUUCGAGACCUUUCGACGAGUGGAGAUUCUUUGUGGAAACCGCCUUAAUCGCAGUGGCUUGAACGGGCAAAAGUCGUAACAAGGUUUCCGUAGUGUGAACCUGCGGAAG
rnacentral:rRNA from 1 species